GACAAACGCUGGCGGCGUGCAUAAAACAUGCAAGUCGAACGGACCAAAGCCGCAAGGCCGAGGUUAGUGGCGAACGGCUGAGUAACACGUAGGUGACCUGCCCCGAAGUGGGGGAUAACUCCUCGAAAGAGGUGCUAAUACCGCAUGUGACCACCGGUUCAUACCGGUGCUCAAAGUCGCAAGACGCUUUGGGAGGGGCCUGCGGCCGAUUAGCUUGUUGGUGGGGUAAUGGCCUACCAAGGCAGCGAUCGGUAGCUGGUCUGAGAGGAUGACCAGCCAGACUGGGACUGAGACACGGCCCAGACUCCUACGGGAGGCAGCAGUGGGGAAUAUUGGACAAUGGGCGCAAGCCUGAUCCAGCCAUGCCGCGUGAGUGAUGAAGG
rnacentral:rRNA from 1 species